UACGUAGGGUGCGAGCGUUGUCCGGAAUUACUGGGCGUAAAGAGCUCGUAGGUGGUUUGUCGCGUUGUUCGUGAAAACUCACAGCUUAACUGUGGGCGUGCGGGCGAUACGGGGCAGACUGGAGUACUGCAGGGGAGACUGGAAUUCCUGGUGUAGCGGGUGGAAUGCGCAGAUAUCAGGAAGAACACCUAUGGCGAAGGCAGCUCUCUGGGGACGGUACUGACGCUGAGACGCGAAAAGCGUGGGGGAGCAAAACAGG
rnacentral:rRNA from 1 species